rnacentral:rRNA from 1 species
UCCGGUUGAUCCUGCCGGACCCCACUGCUAUCGGGGUGGGACUAAGACAUGCAAGUCGUGCGCCUCCAAGCCACGGUGGAGGCGCGGCGCACAGCUCAGUAACACGUGGCUAACCUACCCUUGGGACAGGGACAACCCCGGGAAACUGGGGCUAAUCCCCGAUAGGUGAGGACUCCUGGAAUGGGUCCUCGCUGAAAGGGCGUCUAGACCAUGCUUCUAGACGCUGCCCAAGGAUGGGGCCGCGGCCGAUCAGGUUGUUGGUGAGGUAACGGCUCACCAAGCCUAAGACCGGUACGGGCCGUGAGAGCGGGAGCCCGGAGAUGGACACUGAGACAAGGGUCCAGGCCCUACGGGGCGCAGCAGUCGCGAAACCUCCGCAAUACGCGAAAGCGUGACGGGGCCACCCCGAGUGCCGUCCGCUGAGGACGGCUUUUCCCCAGUGUAGACAGCUGGGGGAAUAAGGGGAGGGCAAGUCGGGUGUCAGCCGCCGCGGUAAUACCCGCUCCCCGAGUGGUGGGGACGCUUAUUGGGCCUAAAGCAUCCGUAGCCGGCUGGACAAGUCCCCUGUUAAAUCCAGCGAUUUAAUCGCUGGACUGCGGGGGAUACUGUCCAGCUAGGGGGCGGGAGAGGCCGGCGGUAUUCCCGGGGUAGGGGUGAAAUCUUAUAAUCCCGGGAGGACCACCAGUGGCGAAGGCUGCCGGCUGGAACGCGCCCGACGGUGAGGGAUGAAAGCUGGGGGAGCGAACCGGAUUAGAUACCCGGGUAGUCCCAGCUGUAAACGAUGCGGGCUAGGUGUUGGCACGGCUACAAGCCGUGUCAGUGCCGCAGGGAAGCCGUUAAGCCCGCCGCCUGGGGAGUACGGCCGCAAGGCUGAAACUUAAAGGAAUUGGCGGGGGAGCACCACAAGGGGUGAAUCUUGCGGUUUAAUUGGAGUCAACGCCGGG